UACGUAGGUGGCAAGCGUUGUUCGGAAUAACUGGGCGUAAAGGAUGCGUAGGCGGUUAAACAAGUUAUAUGUUAAAUAUAUAGGCUUAACCUGUAGAAAGCAUAUAAAACUGUUUAACUAGAGUGCAGGAGAGGUAAGUGGAAUUCCUAGUGUAGCGGUGAAAUGCGUAGAGAUUAGGAAGAACACCAGUGGCGAAGGCGACUUACUGGACUGUAAUUGACGCUGAGGCAUGAGAGCAUGGGGAGCAAACAGG
rnacentral:rRNA from 1 species